rnacentral:rRNA from 1 species
GUCCUUUUGAAUUUAAUUGAAGGUCUGACCUGCCCAGUGAUAAAUUUAACGGCCGCGGUAUAUUGACCGUGCAAAGGUAGCAUAAUCAUUAGUCUUUUAAUAGAGGGCUGGAAUGAAUGGUUUAACGAGGAAUUAACUGUCUCAUUUUAUUUGUUUUAAAAUUUAAUUUUUUAGUCAAAAAGCUAAAAUUUUAUUGGAAGACGAGAAGACCCUAUAGAUCUUUAUAUAAAUUUUUGUAAUUAUUUUUAUAUUAGUGUAAUUAUUUUAAUUUUUAUUUUGUUGGGGUGACAAAAAUAUAUAUAUAACUUUUUUAUUUACUUUCCAUUGAUAUAUGAGUAUUAGAUCCAUUAUUAGUGAUUUUUAGACUAAGUUACCUUAGGGAUAACAGCGUAAUCCUCCUCCAGAGUUCAUAUUUACAGGAUGGGCUUGCGACCUCGAUGUUGGAUUAAGAUAAUAAUUAGGUGUAGCCGCUUAAUAUAUAGGUCUGUUCGACCUUUAAAUUCUU